AGCACCAAUUAUGCUAAUAAAUUAGCACGUUAGCACCUUAUUGUCAUAUCCCAUAGUACAUACAUGUUAUUAAAACUUGAACUAAUGCACUGUGAGUCUUAUAAAUUGCUUACAUACCUCACCGAUUUCUGCCAGUCUGGAAAACGCUCGGUUUAGUUCCUGUCUCCGCCUCCCAAAAUGUCUAGUGUAUUCGGAUUGGUCAGAUGACUACUCAACUGUUAUUGGUCAACUGGGUUCGGCGUGUGUUUGAAAGGUUACGCCCCUGACUACGCGUGUGUUUUCCGGUUCUGACUGAGAGUCACAGGCAACGUAAACAAGCGCUAUAUUUCUCUAUAAACGAUGGUGUCUGUACUGCCUUACCACUUCAAGCUCGAUCCAGAGAGUUCAGACGGCCGUUACGAUAUAAACGAUCUCCGUCAAUGAACGCGAUUGGAUUUAACUUUUUUAGGUGUCCUUAGCUCUGCCAGAAUGCUAAACGAAGACGAAAAUGUGUUGCAAAGACAUCCAAAAGGUUUUAAGGAGAAUGCAACAUGUUCCAGGGCCUCUUACCUGCGUGAUUCAUCAUCCAGGUUUUGCACAAAUUGUCUAAAUCCCUACACACAGAACAUUUAUUGUACCGACUAUAAGCCUUUGAGGUGCAGGACUAGAAUACGCUUGGAGCUUCCUGAUCAGAUCGGUCACAAUUUUGGCUUUCGACGACCCCUGCACUGAAGAUGGCAUGCAAUCACGUCCUCCUUUGAAGGUCUCUCAAACUGUGAUGCCAGGUCCAUUGGAAUCAGGGCUUCCUUC